UACGGGGGGGGCAAGCGUUGUUCGGAAUUACUGGGCGUAAAGGGUUUGUAGGUGGCUUGCUAAGUCAGACGUGAAAUCCCUCAGCUUAACUGGGGAACUGCGUCUGAUACUGGAUGGCUUGAGUUUGGGAGAGGGAUGCGGAAUUCCAGGUGUAGCGGUGAAAUGCGUAGAUAUCUGGAGGAACACCGGUGGCGAAGGCGGCAUCCUGGACCAACACUGACACUGAGGAGCGAAAGCCAGGGGAGCAAACGGG
rnacentral:rRNA from 1 species